rnacentral:rRNA from 1 species
AAGGAGUCUAACAUGUGUCGCGAGUCUCCGGGUGAUCGAAACCUGUGGGCACAAUGAAAGUAAAGGCAGCCUCGGCUGCUGAGGUGAGAAGCAUCCCGUGCGGGUUGCCGCAUCAUCGACCGACCUAUUCUACUCUUAGAAAGGUUUGAGUAAGAGCGCACCUGUUGGGACCCGAAAGAUGGUGAACUAUGCCUGAAUAGGGUGAAGCCAGCGGAAACACUGGUGGAAGCUCGUAGCGAUUCUGACGUGCAAAUCGAUCGUCGAAUUUGGGUAUAGCGGCGAAAGACUAAUCGAACCAUCUAGUAGCUGGUUCCCUCCGAAGUUUCCCUUAGGAUAGCUGGAGCUCGGAUGCAGUUUUAUCAGGUAAAGCGAAUGAUUAGAGGUCUUAGGGUCGAAAUGACCUUAACCUAUUCUCAAACUUUAAAUUGGUAAGAAGUCUGACUUGCUUAAGUUGAAGCCAGACAUUCGAAUGCGAGUUCUUAGUGGGCCAUUUUUGGUAAGCAGAACUGGCGAUGCGGGAUGAACCGAACGCCGAGUUAAGGUGCCCAAGUCGACGCUCAUCAGACCCCACAAAAGGUGUUGGUUGAUAUUGACAGCAGGACGGUGGCCAUGGGAAGUCGGAAU